GAAAACCGCUUUGAUGGUAACUGAAAAACCUUCUUUGGCAGCAUCCCUGGCCAAUAUAUUGAGUAAUGGACGAUGUAAUAUCAAAAAACGACUGAAUGACUUUUGUUCCGUCCACGAAUGGGUGGUCAAUUUAGAUCCGAGACUGUAAAUUUUAAAAUGACCUCUGUAUGUGAACACGUUAUGACAUUAGACUUUAUUGGAAAAUACAACAACUGAGACAAAGUAGAUCUGGGGACUUGUGAGUUAUGCGAAGCAAUUGAUACUAUUAAGGUUCAUUGGUCAUAUGAAGUUUGCACACGUCAAGCUUGACAUCAUAAAG